AUUGAACGCUGGCGGCAUGCUUUACACAUGCAAGUCGAACGGUAACAGGGAGCUUGCUCCGCUGACGAGUGGCGAACGGGUGAGUAAUGCAUCGGAACGUACCCAGUCGUGGGGAGUAACGUAGCGAAGUUACGCUAAUACCGCAUACGUCCUGAGGGAGGAAAGACGGGGGACCGGAAAGGACCUCGCGCGAUUGGAGCGGCCGAUGUCGGAUUAGCUAGUUGGUAGGGUAAAGGCUCACCAAGCCAACGAUCUGUAGCUGGUCUGAGAGGACGACCAGCCACACUGGAACUGAGACACGGUCCAGACUCCUACGGGAGGCAGCAGUGGGGAAUUUUGGACAAUGGACGCAAGUCUGAUCCAGCCAUUCCGCGUGAGUGAAGAAGGCCUUCGG
rnacentral:rRNA from 1 species